rnacentral:rRNA from 1 species
UACGGAGGGGGCUAGCGUUAUUCGGAAUUACUGGGCGUAAAGCGCACGUAGGCGGCUUUGUAAGUCAGAGGUGAAAGCCUGGAGCUCAACUCCAGAACUGCCUUUGAGACUGCAUCGCUUGAAUCCAGGAGAGGUGAGUGGAAUUCCGAGUGUAGAGGUGAAAUUCGUAGAUAUUCGGAAGAACACCAGUGGCGAAGGCGGCUCACUGGACUGGUAUUGACGCUGAUGCGCGAAAGCGUGGGGAGCAAACGGG